rnacentral:rRNA from 1 species
AUUGAACGCUGGCGGCAUGCCUUACACAUGCAAGUCGAACGGUAACGGGCCUUCGGGUGCCGACGAGUGGCGAACGGGUGAGUAAUGCAUCGGAACGUACCUUUCAGUGGGGGAUAACGUAGCGAAAGUUACGCUAAUACCGCAUAUUCUGUGAGCAGGAAAGCAGGGGAUCGCAAGACCUUGCGCUGAUUGAGCGGCCGAUGUCAGAUUAGCUAGUUGGUGAGGUAAAGGCUCACCAAGGCGACGAUCUGUAGCGGGUCUGAGAGGAUGAUCCGCCACACUGGAACUGAGACACGGUCCAGACUCCUACGGGAGGCAGCAGUGGGGAAUUUUGGACAAUGGGCGCAAGCCUGAUCCAGCAAUGCCGCGUGCAGGAUGAAGGCCUUCGGGUUGUAAACUGCUUUUGUACGGAACGAAACGGUGAGCUCUAAUAAAGCUUGCUAAUGACGGUACCGUAAGAAUAAGCACCGGCUAACUACGUG